rnacentral:ncRNA from 1 species
UGCGAUACCUCGGGGUGCCACCUUUGUUGUGGCUGAGAUGCGAAAGCGGACCCGUUGAACCUGAACCGGCUAACACCGGCGGAGGGAAGGUAUCAGCCACAUAG